GGUAGAAAGGAAUCUUUUUAUUUUUUUAAUAAGAAAAAAUAUAAAUAUACUUUUGGCCGCUAUUUUGUCCCCGAUACAAUUGAGUGUACCAAACUUGAAAAUUUUCAAUUGAAUGCUUGAAUUUUCAAUUUGGUAAAUUGGAUUAAUUGAGAUUAUAAACCUCAAACAACUAGCUAGGUGCUAGGAGCUACAUAUAUACUUUGAAAAUUAUAGAAUGUUUUUCACGUGACACUUGAAGAUGAUUUAUCUUACAUCAAAUAUCAAACUGUGUGGUUUUAAAAUUGGGAUUGCUAACAAUUGUUUUGUUAUGUUUUUCACCAGACCAGUAGUAGUGUUUUGGAGAAAAAAUGGAUCCCUUUAGUUCGAAAGAGGCCGAGAAGGAGUCUGACAACGUUAUGCAACAAGCACCUGACCACAUGGGAAAUGCUGAAACAACAGAGGAAGCAGAGAUCAUCACCCACAUGGGUAAUGAACUCUACUGGGAUGCAGUAGAAGGCAAAAUUGGUCCUUCCAUUUCAGAAAAAAGGACCAACUUCCAAGUUUACUUACUCCAAACAAGAACACAGUUCUUCAUAUCUAUAUCACAUCUCUUACUUCCAGAAAAACUCGACCGACCGAGUUCGUGGAAGGGAUUCUGGCAUUGUGUCCAUCGUUGCUGUUGCAGACCAAUGUGAAAGGUGAGACUCUUCUUCACUUAGCUGCAAGAUAUGGGCAUGCUUCAAUUGUAGAGUUGCUCAUCAACCAGUCGAAAGCUCUUCAUCCUCAUGACCAAGAGAGAGGUUCUGAAGUAGCUAAGCAGAUGCUGAGGAUCAUCACCAACGAUGACAAGGACACAGCUUUUCAUGAAGCCGUACGAUUUCGUCAUCUAAGCUUGGUGAAGAUGGUGAUUUUCAGUACUCUGCUAAUGAGGCAGGCGAGACUCCACUCUAUAUGGCCGCUGAGAGAGGAUAUAACGACGUCGUCUACGAGAUAUUGGAGAACUGCAAAUCGCCAGCUACUGCCGGCCCAAAUGGCAGAAACGUUCUCCAUGCUGCAACCAUACGCAAAGAUGAAGGUGCCAUGACAUAUUUUGAUAUAAAUGAUAGGAAGAAUCCUAGAUCAAAUGGGAGAUCUAAUGUUGAAAGAACCAGAUGAGAUGGGCUGGACUCCAUUACAUCAUGCUGCAAAUACGGGAUAUCUUCCUGCAGUCAAACUGUUUGUAAAAUUACCAAUUGGUAGAGAAGCAGCCUACAUGAAGGAUACAAAAGGAAACACUGCUCUUCAUCUUGCAGCUGCUUCAUCUUGCAACGGACGAAAUUAUAAAAUGGUGUACGGAAUGCUGUGAAUUAUUGAACAAUAAAGGCUGGAAUAUUUUACACUCCGCCUUGCAGAAUCAUGACCCUCCGUUUUUUAUCUGGCAAUGGACACCAUACUGAAAAAGAAUGCACUCAGCAACUUGUUAAAUGAAAAGGAUGCUCACGAGGAAUGCACCGCUCCAUCACAUUGCCAUUUCACUUGACAGCGAUCGGCUUGAUAAGCUCAUUCAUCACGCUAGAGUGGAUAAGAUGGCAUUCAACAAACAAAACCAAAAUGCCCUUGACCUUGCUUCCACUUCUGAACCUUCUCCACCAACGAAGGUAAGCUAUUUUCCAUACUUCUCCGACCUCACCCAGAAAAAAAAAAAAAAAAAAAAGCACUCUUUUACUCCGGCACCGCAACA